UGGGGAAUAUUGCACAAUGGGCGCAAGCCUGAUGCAGCCAUGCCGCGUGUGUGAAGAGGGCCUUCGGGUUGUAAAGCACUUUCAGCGAGGAGGAAGGUGGUGAACUUAAUACGUUCAUCAAUUGACGUUACUCGCAGAAGAAGCACCGGCUAACUCCGUGCCAGCAGCCGCGGUAAUACGGAGGGUGCAAGCGUUAAUCGGAAUUACUGGGCGUAAAGCGCACGCAGGCGGUUUGUUAAGUCAGAUGUGAAAUCCCCGGGCUCAACCUGGGAACUGCAUUUGAAACUGGCAAGCUAGAGUCUCGUAGAGGGGGGUAGAAUUCCAGGUGUAGCGGUGAAAUGCGUAGAGAUCUGGAGGAAUACCGGUGGCGAAGGCGGCCCCCUGGACGAAGACUGACGCUCAGGUGCGAAAGCGUGGGGAGCAAACAGAUUAGAUACCCUGGUAGUCCACGCUGUAAACGAUGUCGAUUUUGGAGGUUGUGCCCUUGAGGCGUGCUUCCGGAGCUAACGCGUUAAAUCGACCGCCUGGGGAGUACGG
rnacentral:rRNA from 1 species